UCAAGAAGAAGAUACUAAAGAAGAAGCAUUUUCUUUCUAUCGAGAAUAGAACUCUAUAAAGAUGGAGGCCUAAAGAAGAAGAGGGGUGUUCUCAUUCUUACUUCUAGAGGCUUUGUGUUAUUCCUUCUACAAUAUUUUUUGAAUUGUCUUAUUCAGUGUAAGUGGAAGAUUUUUAUUUAUACAAGUAACAAAAUCUCAUACGGGUCCAUAAAUUUAGUAAAGUUCACAUAUGAACAAUUUGACUCGUCUUAUAUAAGACUAACUUUAUUAAAAUAAACGAC
rnacentral:lncRNA from 1 species